UACGUAGGUGGCAAGCGUUGUUCGGAUUCAUUGGGCGUAAAGGGUGCGUAGGUGGCAUGGUAAGUCGGAUGUGAAAUCCCGGGGCUCAACCCCGGAACUGCAUUCGAUACUGCUGCGCUAGAGUACUGGAGAGGAGACUGGAAUUUACGGUGUAGCGGUGAAAUGCGUAGAUAUCGUAAGGAAGACCAGUGGCGAAGGCGGGUCUCUGGACAGUUCCUGACGCUGAGGCACGAAGGUCAGGGGAGCAAACGGG
rnacentral:rRNA from 1 species